GUAGGUGGCAAGCGUUGUCCGGAAUUAUUGGGCGUAAAGCGCGCGCAGGCGGUUCUUUAAGUCUGAUGUGAAAGCCCACGGCUCAACCGUGGAGGGUCAUUGGAAACUGGAGAACUUGAGUACAGAAGAGGAAAGCGGAAUUCCACGUGUAGCGGUGAAAUGCGUAGAGAUGUGGAGGAACACCAGUGGCGAAGGCGGCUUUCUGGUCUGUAACUGACGCUGAGGCGCGAAAGCGUGGGGGGCAAACAGGGAUUAGAUACCCUGGUAGUCCACGCCGUAAACGAUGAGUGCUAAGUGUUAGGGGGUUUCCGCCCCCUUAGUGCUGCAGCUAACGCAUUAAGCACUCCGCCUGGGGAGUACGGCCGCAAGGCUG
rnacentral:rRNA from 1 species